rnacentral:rRNA from 1 species
UACAGAGGUGGCAAGCGUUGUUCGGAAUUACUGGGCGUAAAGGGCGCGUAGGUGGCGACCCAAGUCAAUGGUGAAAGCUCGAUGCUCAACAUCGAGUCGGCCACUGAUACUGGGUUGCUUGAGCACUGUAGAGGCUAAUGGAAUUCCGGGUGUAGCGGUGGAAUGCGUAGAGAUCCGGAAGAACACCGGUGGCGAAGGCGGUUAGCUGGGCAGUUGCUGACACUGAGGCGCGACAGCGUGGGGAGCAAACAGG